rnacentral:rRNA from 1 species
UACGUAGGGUGCGAGCGUUAAUCGGAAUUACUGGGCGUAAAGCGUGCGCAGGCGGUCUGUUAAGACCGAUGUGAAAUCCCCGGGCUUAACCUGGGAACUGCAUUGGUGACUGGCAGGCUUUGAGUGUGGCAGAGGAGACUGGAAUUCAUGGUGUAGCAGUGAAAUGCGUAGAGAUCAUGAGGAAGACCAGUGGCGAAGGCGGGUCUCUGGACAGUUCCUGACACUGAGGCACGAAGGCCAGGGGAGCAAACGGG